rnacentral:misc_RNA from 1 species
GGCACGCCCGAAGUCGUUACUCCAACCCUUGUGGAGGAGGACGUCGAAGGUGGGGCUGAUGACUGGGGUGAAGUCGUAACAAGGUAGCCGUACCGGAAGGUGCGGCUGGAUCACCUCCUAACAGGGAGACAACUCAGAUUUUGAUGCUUGAUUCAAUUUGAUGUUAAGCCAGAGUCCUGUCACUCUAGGUCGAUCGGUACCUCAGCUUUUAAAUUGAGAACUGUAUGAUAGCGAAGGCGACUGGUUUGGAAAGUCCGUUUGAUGAAUAAUGAGUGAAUCCAUUGUUUUGCCUAAGUCACCUUUCAGGUAUAACACCUUGUCAAAGUCAUGAUUGAACGAGUUUCAACUCUGGUGUGAAUGGCACGGGUGAUUAAAAGAACCUGCUGUUACUGACAGGUAACACUCCUGGGCCAUUAGCUCAGGUGGUUAGAAGGGGAAUUCCAUGGACUGGCUGCCGUCCUG